AUCUGCGUAAUGAAUACACCCUAGAGAGCUGCUGGUCUGGUUGAGUCUAUUCUCUCCUCUGUACCAGGACAAGGUCACAUCUUGCACACAUCUGAACAGCUCGAGCUUUAGAGCAAUGAACCAUUUGUUUGGAUGGACAAGGCUCAUGCUGCUAUAUUUCAUCAUUUAUGUUCUCUGUGCUUCCCAGCAAACAGUAAAGUCUGAGACUCAGCAGAUGAAAGGCAUUGUGGGACAGUCUUUAUCGUUUCCAGAGAGAGUGUUUAAAACUGGAUAUUUAAGGUAUGGAGAAGACACUACUGCAAGUGUGAUCAAUGGACAAAGCCAUAUAGAUUUAGAAGAGAGAUUUAAAAAUCGCGUUAACUGGGACAAUGUAACAGGAUUAUUCAGUCUGUCAGACCUACAGAUAGAAGAUGCUGGGGUUUAUUCUGUGGAGAAUAAAGACGGAGAGAAGAGGAUACCUAAAUUUAACCUCACUCUUUACUAUGUUGUUUCCAAACCUCAGGUGACAGAGUGUGACAGCAGCUCCUGUAGUGUGGUGUGUUCUGUGGACAACAAAAAAGAGGUGACCUUGACCUUGUACAGGGGAGAGGAAAUACUAAACCAGACCAGCAGUCCUGACCUCACCACUGAUCUAUCUCUCCGUUUGGAGGUAGAGGGAAAGAACUACAACUCCACCUACAGCUGUGUGGCUGCUAACCCUGUCAGCAAGGAGACAGUUCUUGUCCCAAAAUGUUGCAGUGAAGAUGGUCAUCCCAAGGAGACAGACAGUGAUGGGAUGACUCGGGGUAUGCUUAUUAUUGCUGUAAUCUGCGUUUUGGUUGUCUCAGGGCUGGUUGGACUUGCAAUCAAUCUAAAGCCGAGGGGAAAUGAACACUCACAAGGCAGGUAUUCAUCUUUUAGAGGUCUGAGGUCAGUCAAAACAUGUCAUAAUCUGCCUUUUUAUAUUAUCAAGAAAAGUAUUUUGGAAAAAGUAGGAACUGUUUUCUUGAACACAGGAUGCAGGUCAAAUAAAGUGGCACACUUCCUCUGCUUAGUCAGACAGUAUUAUCAUCUCAGACCUUCCUGAUACACCUCUCUAAAUGUUGAAAAAGCAGAAGGCACCCACACAAACACACUCUGACAAUCAUUACUUUAAAGAUUGGAUUCUAUGGUGCCACAAAUACCGCUAGCAGAGAGACGGGUACCCAUCGUAAACAGUAGUCCUGAGGGUUUACAGAACCUGUCCAGGAGAUGAGCGUCUGUAUGUCUCUGUCAGUUAGUCACACCCCCGCCUUAUAUUUAAUUGACUUUAUUUGUCUUCAUAGAUUCAUCCGAAAGAGUGCAAGUUGACAUUGAGUAUGCAACGAUUACUUACAUAAAACAAACAGGAGGAGCGAAGAAGUAUACCAGAACGCAUAGAGACAACCCUGAAAUGGCAUCAGUUUAUGAUACACUGCAGUUACAUCGCAUGGCUGACAGCAGGGAUGUUGACACAGCAUGAAGGAACAAAACUGGAAGUCACUGAGAAGCCAACAUGAUAACUCAUAAAGAGGACAUUUAACCAAAAUGAAAGUAAAAUAAUAAUCACCCAGAAAACCUUUUAGAGGCACAGUUGUUAUGGGAGAAAAUUUCAGGCUUUCUUUGUGGGUCAUUCUCACAGACCUUCUGUCAAAUAGAGGCCUCGAUGACAUCCACUGAUAAGGACCAAUUCAAUAACUAUUUAUUGAGUUAGUAGCCGGGUCAGGAUAAUCCUUCUUUUCAGCUGCCUUUUGUCCCAAAUCCCAAUGUAUAAGUUAAAACAAAUGGAACAUAUAUUUUAAUACUGGGCACAACUUUGGUUUUGGAAGUGGGAGGACAUAACUUUUUAUCCUGUCGGAUAAACACUCCAAACAACCUACCCGCCCACUCGGAGGCGUCCGUAUGGCCCUAAAGCACACCAUUGCCUCGUUUUGUAUCACAUUCCAAUGAUAAAACUGGGGGGGACAAAAAUGAUAUUUCAGAAUGUGGGGGGGACAUGUGGCACCCUUGGUGUUUGCUAUGCUACUGCUGGCCAAAGCUUCUUUUCAGUAAUUACUGUUUUGUUGUUUAAAUGUAGGUGCCUCCCCUGUAUCAUUUAUAGCUGCUCAUUGUUUAGAUUGCCAGUGGAUAGCAGCUGUGUAUAUAAUAUAAAAAAAGCAGGCGUUUGAGAUAAAGCCUCCUACUCCUUAGCAGCAAUGUCUGUUAGGCUACUUUAGGUCCAUAGAUGUAAUAACAAAAGCUUUAAUAACAAAAGCUAUUAACAAUAGAUUUACUUUUUUUCUGUAGAUCUUGAUUUGCCAUUUGAUCUUGAGUGUUUUUAGACUCUUCUUAUCACUUUUCGCAAAAUUUUGUUCUGGCCUAACUUGUCUCUCUUAAUUAGCUUGUUUCAUUUAUUAUGAUGGAUCAUUUAUUUAGCUGAAAUAUGUAUAUCUGUCAUUCUUAUUGAAAGCAAGUCUAAGAAGUGGUAGAUAUGUUCUAUGUGCACUAUUUCUAUUUUUGCCAUGCUUGAGUUUUGCUUUUGUGUAUUUUACUUUUGGUUUUGUACAACAGCUUCAAACAGAGGAAAACACAAUAUUUUUCGUUAUGGAAAAUAUAUUCCACAGCGGUUUAGAUGGUACAAUGAUUCUCCUCGCUAUAGUUGCUUGUUUUGUCACAUAAACAACCAGGAAAUGGAAAGAGUGAUUUCUGCAUAGAGCAUCUAUAACAUGAGAAGGUUUUGCGGAAAGAAAGUAUUUUUGUCAACCCAAUAGAUGGUUAUCACGUCAACUGGCUUCACACGGAGUGAUAGACAAACGUGGGCAUCACACAGACAGACAUGAGCAAUAUUGCUGGAUAUUAAUUGGCAAAUAUUGUGUUUAGUUAUUUUAACAACCAAUUAAUCCAAUAGCAAAAAAAAUAUGAUACAUGUUUCAAAAUUGCCCUUUGAAUGUAGUAUGCUACUGUACUGUAGAUUCCAGUACAUUACACUGUUUUCACUUUAGGCAAUACACUUGCACUACCCAUAACAAUUUACUGAACAUACAAUUUCCAUAAUUCAGGCCAAAUAGUUCAAUCUUGGUUUUAUCACACCAGAUAAUCUUGUUCCUUAUGGUCUGAGAGUCCUUUAGGUGCUUUUUGGCAAACUCCAAGCAGGCGGUCAUGUGCCUUUUACUGAGGAGUAGCUUCCGUCUCGCCACUCUACCAUAAAGGCCUGAUUGGUGGAGUGUUGCAGAGAUGGU